rnacentral:rRNA from 1 species
UACGUAGGCAGCGAGCGUUGUUCGGAGUUACUGGGCGUAAAGAGUGCGUAGGCGGUUUUCUAAGUUUGGUGUGAAAUCUCCCGCUUAACUGGGAGGGUGCGCCGAAGACUGGAAGGCUUGAGUAUGGGAGAGGUAAGCGGAAUUCCUGGUGUAGCGGUGAAAUGCGUUGAUAUCGGAAGGAACGCCGGCGGCGAAAGCGGCUUGCUGGAUCCCAUCUGACGCUGAGGCGCGAAAGCUAGGGGAGCGAACGGGG